UACGAAGGGUGCAAGCGUUAAUCGGAAUUACUGGGCGUAAAGGGUGCGUAGGCGGUUCGUUAAGUCGAACGUGAAAUCCCCGGGCUCAACCCGGGAACUGCGUCCGAUACUGGCAGGCUUGAAUCCGGGAGAGGGAUGCGGAAUUCCAGGUGUAGCGGUGAAAUGCGUAGAUAUCUGGAGGAACACCGGUGGCGAAGGCGGCAUCCUGGACCGGCAUUGACGCUGAGGCGCGAAAGCCAGGGGAGCAAACGGG
rnacentral:rRNA from 1 species